rnacentral:RNase_P_RNA from 1 species
GCGGGAGUAAAAGAUGUCUGCCGUGCCUUCGGGCAGGGAGGAAAGUCCGGACACCUUGGGCAAGGAUACUUCCUAACGGGAAGCUGCAGCAAUGCAGAGCUUAGCUCCACAGAAACAAACCGCGCUCUUUAUGAGAACGUAAGGGUGAAAUGGUGGUGUAAGAGACCACCGGUGCCAUUGGUGACAGUGGCAGCCAGGAAUGCCUUAUCCGGUGCAAUGCCAAAUAGGGAAGCAAUGGCGAGCCCACGCCGCUUCCGGGUAGGCAGCUAAAGCCAAGGCGCGAGUUUUGGCGUAGAGGAAUAGACAUCACUCCUUCUUUUGAGGGAGCACAGAAUCCGGCUUAUUGAGCUCCCGCAGAA